UUCGCCUACGGGAGGCAGCAGUGGGGAAUAUUGGGCAAUGGGCGCAAGCCUGACCCAGCAACGCCGCGUGAGGGAAGAAGGCUUUCGGGUUGUAAACUUCUUUUCUCAGGGACGAAGCAAGUGACGGUACCUGAGGAAUAAGCCACGGCUAACUACGUGCCAGCAGCCGCGGUAAUACGUAGGUGGCAAGCGUUAUCCAGAUUUACUGGGUGUAAAGGGCGUGUAGGCGGGAAAGCAAGUCAGAUGUGAAAACCACGGGCUC
rnacentral:rRNA from 1 species